UACGAAGGGGGCUAGCGUUGCUCGGAAUCACUGGGCGUAAAGCGCACGUAGGCGGAUUGUUAAGUCAGGGGUGAAAUCCUGGAGCUCAACUCCAGAACUGCCUUUGAUACUGGCGAUCUUGAGUCCGGGAGAGGUGAGUGGAACUGCGAGUGUAGAGGUGAAAAUUCGUAGAUAUUCGCAAGAACACCAGUGGCGAAGGCGGCUCACUGGCCCGAUACUGACGCUGAGGUGCGAAAGCGUGGGG
rnacentral:rRNA from 1 species